GUGUCAGCCGCCGCGGUAAUACGUAGGGGGCAAGCGUUGUCCGGAUUCAUUGGGCGUAAAGAGCGUGUAGGCGGUUAGGUAGGUCAGUUGUGAAAACUGGAGGCUCAACCUUCAGACGUCGACUGAAACCCCCUGGCUAGAGUCCGGGAGAGGAGAGUGGAAUUCUUGGUGUAGCGGUGGAAUGCGCAGAUAUCAGGAAGAACACCCGUGGCGAAAGCGGCUCUCUGGAACGGUACUGACGCUGAGACGCGAAAGCGUGGGGAGCGAACAGGAUUAGAUACCCUCGUAGUCC
rnacentral:rRNA from 1 species